rnacentral:lncRNA from 1 species
CGAAUAUUUCCUAUUAUAAGGUAAAAAGACAAAAAAGACAAAAAAAAAAAAACAACAACAACAACAACACGAGUGCCACAUCUUUUUUUCUCUUUCCUCUCCCUCCAAAGCACCGGCUUUACAAGUAAAUACUAUCGAUAAAUAGAAAUAUCAUCCACUAAUAGGUAGCAUGUAUAUAUAAACAAACUCUCUCAAUAUUACUAUUAUUAAAAAAGAAAUCAAAGAACACAGUGAUGGACUAAUGAUAAUUUAAAAACAAUAGAUUUUUUUAAACAAAGCAAAAGACAACGAUCCCAAACACCACAUUUUCGUCGCAUUAAAGGAAUUAAAAGUCCGUCUUUAUUAUUGUUAGUUCAAACUCGUCGAGAGCCACCUCCGCUAUUUUUGGAGAAGGGCAGACACCUCUGAACCGCGCCGAAGAGAUAAGAGUCUGUAGCUUGCAUAUCACCUUCGAUGCCAAACGUAGUCCCUUGUUGGUUCCUUCGAAGCCGUACAGAAGCUCGUGGUUUGAUGGCUUCCUACCCAAUUUGGACUCGACACCUUGGCUCACUUCAUGUUGCCCGGUCGUCAUUGAAGAGCCCUUCCGU